rnacentral:miRNA from 1 species
AUCUGUAUGCUUGUAUGUAUGUGUACAUGUGCAUGUAAAUACAUUGCAGCAAUGUAUUUACAAUGUAU